CCUACGGGAGGCAGCAGUGGGGAAUAUUGCACAAUGGGGGAAACCCUGAUGCAGCGACGCCGCGUGAGUGAAGAAGUAAUUCGUUAUGUAAAGCUCUAUCAGCAGGGAAGAAAAUGACGGUACCUGAGUAAGAAGCUACGGCUAACUACGUGCCAGCAGCCGCGGUAAUACGUAGGGGGCAAGCGUUAUCCGGAUUUACUGGGUGUAAAGGGAGCGUAGACGGCAGUGCAAGUCUGGAGUGAAAGGCGGGGGCUCAACCCCCGGACUGCUCUUGAAACUGUACGGCUGGAGUGCAGGAGAGGUAAGUGGAAUUCCUAGUGUAGCGGUGAAAUGCGUAGAUAUUAGGAAGAACACCAGUGGCGAAGGCGGCUUACUGGACUGUAACUGACGUUGAGGCUCGAAAGCGUGGGUAGCAAACAGGAUUAGAUACCCCUGUAGUC
rnacentral:rRNA from 1 species